rnacentral:lncRNA from 1 species
UUAAGAAUUAAUUGCUUUUUCAUGGAGCUUCACGGGGCACAAAGGGGUGGCGCCAAGGCCAUUGCCUGUCUAUAUGUGGCUCUGCCCUUGAUCUAGAACAUGCCAACAAUGCCUAGGCAAGGAAAAUAUGCAGCGGAGUCGGACAAGACAAGUGUUUGUGCAAAUUUCCUUCGGACAGAAUAUUCGCAGAUGAUCCUCUUCACACUCGAACCUCUUUUUCAUCCUUGAUCCAUGCAAAAUAGAUAUGGUCAGCAAAGCACACCCGGGGAGUGUUGG